GCAGUCGAACGGUGACGAGGGGCUUGCUCCUCUGAUCAGUGGCGAACGGGUGAGUAACACGUGAGUAACCUGCCCUUCACUCUGGGAUAACGCUGGGAAACUGGUGCUAAUACUGGAUAUGACCUGCUCGGGCAUCCGAUGUGGGUGGAAAGAUUUAUUGGUGGAGGAUGGACUCGCGGCCUAUCAGCUUGUUGGUGAGGUAAUGGCUCACCAAGGCGACGACGGGUAGCCGGCCUGAGAGGGCGAUCGGCCACACUGGGACUGAGACACGGCCCAGACUCCUACGGGAGGCAGCAGUGGGGAAUAUUGCACAAUGGGCGAAAGCCUGAUGCAGCGACGCCGCGUGAGGGAUGAAGGCCUUCGGGUUGUAAACCUCUUUCAGCAGGGAAGAAGCGUCUGGGUUUUCUCAGGUGUGACGGUACCUGCAGAAGAAGCACCGGCUAACUACGUGCCAGCAGCCGCGGUAAUACGUAGGGUGCAAGCGUUGUCCGGAAUUAUUGGGCGUAAAGAGCUUGUAGGCGGUUUGUCGCGUCUGCUGUGAAAUUUCGGGGCUCAACCCCGAACUUGCAGUGGGUACGGGCAGACUAGAGUGUGGUAGGGGAGACUGGAAUUCCUGGUGUAGCGGUGAAAUGCGCAGAUAUCAGGAGGAACACCGAUGGCGAAGGCAGGUCUCUGGGCCACUACUGACGCUGAGAAGCGAAAGCAUGGGGAGCGAACAGGAUUAGAUACCCUGGUAGAAUCACUAGUGAAUUC
rnacentral:rRNA from 1 species